rnacentral:rRNA from 1 species
AGAGUUUGAUCCUGGCUCAGGAUGAACGCUAGCUACAGGCUUAACACAUGCAAGUCGAGGGGCAGCAUGAACUUAGCUUGCUAAGUUUGAUGGCGACCGGCGCACGGGUGAGUAACACGUAUCCAACCUGCCGAUGACUCGGGGAUAGCCUUUCGAAAGAAAGAUUAAUACCCGAUGGCAUAGUUCUUCCGCAUGGUAGAACUAUUAAAGAAUUUCGGUCAUCGAUGGGGAUGCGUUCCAUUAGGUUGUUGGCGGGGUAACGGCCCACCAAGCCUUCGAUGGAUAGGGGUUCUGAGAGGAAGGUCCCCCACAUUGGAACUGAGACACGGUCCAAACUCCUACGGGAGGCAGCAGUGAGGAAUAUUGGUCAAUGGGCGAGAGCCUGAACCAGCCAAGUAGCGUGAAGGAUGACUGCCCUAUGGGUUGUAAACUUCUUUUAUAAAGGAAUAAAGUCGGGUAUGCAUACCCGUUUGCAUGUACUUUAUGAAUAAGGAUCGGCUAACUCCGUGCCAGCAGCCGCGGUAAUACGGAGGAUCCGAGCGUUAUCCGGAUUUAUUGGGUUUAAAGGGAGCGUAGGCGGGUGCUUAAGUCAGUUGUGAAAGUUUGCGGCUCAACCGUAAAAUUGCAGUUGAUACUGGGCGCCUUGAGUGCAGCAUAGGUAGGCGGAAUUCGUGGUGUAGCGGUGAAAUGCUUAGAUAUCACGAAGAACUCCGAUUGCGAAGGCAGCUUGCUGGACUGUAACUGACGCUGAUGCUCGAAAGUGUGGGUAUCAAACAGGAUUAGAUACCCUGGUAGUCCACACAGUAAACGAUGAAUACUCGCUGUUUGCGAUAUACAGUAAGCGGCCAAGCGAAAGCGUUAAGUAUUCCACCUGGGGAGUACGCCGGCAACGGUGAAACUCAAAGGAAUUGACGGGGGCCCGCACAAGCGGAGGAACAUGUGGUUUAAUUCGAUGAUACGCGAGGAACCUUACCCGGGCUUGAA